rnacentral:misc_RNA from 1 species
AAGUCGUAACAAGGUUUCCGUAGGUGAACCUGCGGAAGGAUCAUUAUCACGUAUCCACGUAUAAACCAUUGUGAACCGUUCUAACCUCUGGAAUGAGUGAGCUAGUUUUGUGUAUCAAACAAUCUAAAGCGGCUUUUCUUGUGAUUAGUGGCCGUGGUUUGAUAUGCCACAGUCGGGUAGUGAGCUUGCUCUCUCUCCGACUGUACUUGCUUGUUCUAGAGUGUAUUUUCAUUAAUCACUUCAAUUCAUUAACCAUUUUAACCCAAUCUUUAUAACUUUUAUGAACUAAUUUUAUUUCUUACUCUUUCGGGAGAAGAAAUUCAUUACGAAACAAAGAACAACUCUUAGCAACGGAUAUCUUGGUUCUC